rnacentral:rRNA from 1 species
UACGGAGGGUGCAAGCGUUAUCCGGAUUCACUGGGUUUAAAGGGUGCGUAGGUGGGUCUGUAAGUCAGUGGUGAAAUCUCCGGGCUUAACCCGGAAACUGCCAUUGAUACUAUCAGUCUUGAAUACCGUGGAGGUAAGCGGAAUAUGUCAUGUAGCGGUGAAAUGCUUAGAUAUGACAUAGAACACCAAUUGCGAAGGCAGCUUACUACCCGAAUAUUGACACUGAGGCACGAAAGCGUGGGGAUCAAACAGG